UCUCUUUGUACUUUGAAACUCUAAAGAAUAUUAUUCCAGCAAUUUACAUUUAUAUUUACAAUUUUAUCUAUUUUCAUAGAGCAUUCAAACAAAUUGUCUCUAAAAGGAAUUUGAGAUCCACAAUUUAUUCUUAAAAAGAAGUUAGAAGUGUAAUAUCACACAGUUUGUGUACCACAUAGUCGUGACAUGCCUGCAAAUCCAAUUCUGAGCCAACAUAAUUUGGCACGCCCAGUGAGACAUUUGUUCUACAAUGGCUCCAAGAACAAAAAAUAAUAAUGGAAAAAAAUGAAAUGAGUCUUAGCACCAGGGUUGCUGUUGAUGAAGUAGAACGUUAAGCUGAAGCUUUUGUUCCUCAUAUGAUGGAGUAGUUAGAGAAGAACAUGGUGCCUCAUGGAACAUCUGAGCACUAUGGCGCUACUACCUACUGGAAGAGUCAUUAGCGGACCACCUACCGCCAAUGUAUUUGGAGGUCUAGGUAUUAAUGUAUCUGAUUUUUCUUAUAAUCCCUUGUUAGAAUUUUUUACACAUUCUGAAGAAAUUCAGAAUAUGCAUCUUAAUAUUAUGCAAAAAAUAAGUGAAAAGUUAACUAAUAGUCGACAUACUAAUCUUAAGAGUGAUAAUUUAAAUGUUAAUGCUAUGGAGAAAGAAACUCAAGAGGAAAUCAAGGGGCAAUCUUCUGUUAACAAUGAUAAAAAUCUUAGGAAAAAAGUGGAAGUUAAUAGUGUGGUUGAACCUUAGGCCCACCGGGUCGAGAAAAGAUGUGUGGCUUUAUGAAAAAGGCGACGUUAGGGUGAAAACUACAAAUGGCCACAAUACUGGAAUGCUAUAUUUGGUUCAUUAGAUUUGGUUCAUUAAAAUUGCAAAUGAAUAAUCACAGUAGCAAAUCAAAUUUUAUGCAUGACACGUGCAUAAGCGAUAUAUGACUUUAACUCACAGAAUUAGGCGACCUCCUAGCUCUGCUCCGGUGCCUCAGUUGGAGCGAGCCGAACAUACAGAUCAUCUAAUCACGAAAAAUAAUUUAUCAAAACGCUGAAACAAUCGAUCAUUAAUCCUAGGUCUAGACUCCUAGGACUGACUGUCUAAGAAUCUCGACUCGGGAGAAUUCUACCGAAAAUCCGGCAGAACCUCCCCUACAACACGAAUAUUACCCCCCGUAAAAACGGGUCCAGGACCUGCCAGAAGAUCACUUCCAAUAUCCAACAAUUUAAACAACGGGAGUCGGGUCCCCAAACUUCACUAUCUCCCGACUCCACCACACAGCACAAAACACAAGGCAGGCAACUGACAGACAAUUAUUUUUGACUCACAAUAACAUCAAAUACUCAAUAUAAACCAUUAGACACAAUUAAACCAAGAAUUCCAAAAUUAACGGGCCAAAGAUAAUUACCGAGACGCUCGAUCGCUCGGUCGACUCGCCUCCGGCCGCCGGAGUCCGAUCGACGAUCCGAACACACCAUCGGACUCACAACGACGCGCUGAUGACGAUCCCCACUUUUGAUUUUCCGAUCUGACACCCGAUCAUCCGGAGAGAUUUGCGGACGAUCUCGACCGUCGAUUCGCAAACGAAGCCCGAUCGCCACGAAACCGGUGCCAUCGCGAAGCUUGAGAUGAGGAGAGUCGGGAUACAUCCUCCGAUCAUCCAUCAUCCGCCGGAGCUCGCCGGAAAAACCAGAAAACACGGCUGCCACCACUUCGCCAGAACUCUCUCCUCCGGCCACCAAAACCGACGCCGCUGCCGCCAAAAGGAAGCUCUCUCCAAGGGGAGCUGAUCACCACCGAGAUCGGCCGGAAAGGCCGCUGGAAACGGCCGAAACGGCCUUCGAAAGCCGCUGCCACACGCGCGAUUCCCGCCGCCUCAUGCUACCGCUGGAGCCGCUGCUGCCGCCGCCGCUGCGCUCGCCAGCGCACGCCGCUCCGCGCCCCCGGAGCUCGCCACCGACGCCUGCAACGUCCCUCUCUCUCUCUUCCCGGCGCCGCACUCUCUCUCUCUCUCUCUUUCUCUCUCUAUUUUCUCUCUCCUCGAUUCCAUUUCUUUUAAUAUCGACAUUAGGCCCCCGAACUUUUCCUUACUACAAUUUGGUCCCUCAACUUCCUUAAUUACUUACAAUUUCGUCCCGCAGAAUUCCAAUUUAACCCCCAAACUUCUUUUUAGCCUUUCAAUUAAGCCCCUAACUAUUUAAUUUGGGCCAAAUCCGAAUUAUUCAAAAUACACAAUUACAAAAAUACCCCUGACCGACAUAUUUAUUUAUAAAAAUACCAAGCUCACAAAUUUCCAUUAAAACCCCAUAAAAAUAACAUUAUACUUUCAAUCCUUAUUCCAAAAUAAAUUUCCAAUUUAGUCCUAACACAUAAUUAAAUUAAAUAAUCAAUUUCCAACUCAAAAUUUAAUACUACUAAUCAAUUAUAAUACCAAUUUUCUCAAAAUUCUUUUAUAAAAACAUCCCUUACAAUUUCUAUCAUAAUUUUUCAAUAUAUAAUUUUAUUUAUAUAAAUAUGCAUUUGGGAAAAUUUGAAUAACCAAAAUAUAAUCAUUUCUCAAAUAGUUUACUUGAAUAAAAAUAAAGCUAAAAUUAACUUAAAUAAAAACUCACUAUUAAAUAUAUAAAAAAAAAAUUCCGAGUGUUACAUUCUCCCCCCCUUAAAAAAAAUUCGACCUCGAAUUUUAAAAGAAAAGGGGCUACACUCUAAGACUGAAACUAAUUAGGAACCUCUCAUCUCCAACUCGGCUUCUCGAAAACUUUACCUCGGCAGAAAUAAACCACAAGACUCAUCGACAAAACCCUUAAAUAAAACUAGCCAACCUGAAAAUCCGCGAUCCUCACUUACUACUCCUCGGAAACCAAAUCUUCACUUACAUUCACACACUGAGGAUCCAACACGAGCAAAGGAUCGAAAAUACACUUCCACAGCUCAGACUUACAAACAACUGGAUUUAACCUCAGAGAACAUUACUAAUACUUGGCGGCAAGUCCAACUUACAUGCCACCUCACCAACCUGUCGACAAAACCAAGGGUUCUCACAACCUUAUUUUCUUACCAAACCACAUCACUUAUGACAUACCAUCCAUCUAGUUUCCAUAACUGACACAACUCAUGCCAUCCUGACACAAGAUUCCCCCUUGACUAAAAUCCAAAAGCGUCCUUUAUUAUCUAACAUGGGGCCUACAGCUCCACAGACUUACUCUCUCAGCAACUCAACUCGUCAUCCAGAGAAUUCUCAAGCUAACACUAUUUACUUUGAAAAUUUUACUUAUUUAUUUACUUUAUAAUCAUCACUGAUAAAGCUUUAUCAUCUUGGAAAAAACACUUUUGUAAAAUCAUAAAAUCUCUAGCCAUUUUUCUUUAUAUAAAAUUCUACAAUAUCGCGCGCCAGGGUGAUGAUGCCCCCUAUCACAAAGGGUUGCAAUGCACGAUGUAUGAUGCAUGUCCUAAAAUGAAUUUAUGCAUGCCUAACAGUGAAAUGCCAUAAUGCAUUCUUACGGGACUGGGCGCAAUAUUGUAUUUCAAAAACACUUGUCCUACUUAGAAAAAUAAAUAAUGUUCGCUUAAGUUUCUCUAGAUUUUCGAGCAUCCGAAAACACUCCUGCCACCUUUCUUAAGCUUCUUACAACCACAAAACUCAACCAUAAUAGCUGACAUCCGCUCGACUUCNNNCGCUCGACUUCCUAGGCACUACCUUCGGCGCUACUCAAAAAGACGAUGCCUGAUGCGAUGACGAGGCAGCUCAUGACACGACUGCAACCACGCUCUACACUAAAUCUGACUGCGGUGCCCACCAUCGAAACCAUAAUCAAAGCUUCUAAAGGCGGACUGCACUAAUCACUUGAAGAAACAGCACGAGUCUAUCACGCUUCGAAUCUUCUUGUCGCUACAAAGCUCAUUCUCAGCAUAGCACCAAGGACAAGCUUACAAGAAAGGAAAGACUGACUUUCUAACGGUGAAGGCUGAGACACUGGAGUCAAUGAAAACAACAAGACAGACAUGAUCCUAACUCCGCAGUACCAAGAAAAAUCUCAACUUAGGUCGAAGGAAAUCUAAACCUAAGCUCUGAUACCAACUUUGUCACGACCCCACCCGUGGGCCCGUGGCCGGCACUAGGGAAUGGGUAGGCUUAAGGCCACCGAAACCCGUAGUAAGCCUGACACUCACUGACUUAAACAAAUCUCAUCUCAAAUUAAUAUUAUUAAAACCAUAAAUUAUCUUAAUAGUUACACUUUACAAAAUUACUUCGGUCUACCAGAAAAACUAGGCGAGACCCGAAGCUCAGAAAAUUUACAACUGAUACAUCUACUAAUUACUACUGCGGAGAAUCUAAGAUUUACCAAUUUACAUACCAAAUCAAAUACAUCACCCGAUGAUGAAGGAGUCGGGUUACUGAAUAAGAGUUGCAAGAGAACUAACAGUCACGAAUCUGAAAAACAGUAAAAAUGAGACUGUCAGUCUCGAGAGUGAGUUAAAAUCAUAUAUCUAAAACAGUUUCAAACAUUUCAAUAUCACAUUCAUUUAAUUUUAAAAAUAAUUAAUAAAUCACACGAACCAUACGUGUCAUGUUAAGACAUAUGUGUCAUGCCAUGUUUAAACAAAAAUUAUUCCACAUACAACGGGACGGAGUACUUCAGUAUAACCCUAAUCCCAACUCUAACAUCUCGAUUUAUUUCAACACUUAUGUCUCAACUAACCUCAACUCUAACAUCUCAAACCUCUCAUUCCAACAGGACUGGCGCCCAGAGAGCAAAGCUCGACCAGGGACCUUACCUCCAGUCCGGUCACUUAACUCUCAGCCUUAGCCUUUCGGCUCUCUUAUCCAAUAGGACUAGCGCCCAGAGAGCAUAGCUCGACCAGGGACCUUACCUCCAGUCUGGUCACUUAAAUUUCCAAAUAAGCCGGCGCCCAAAGAGCAAUGCUCGACCAGGGACCUUUACUCCGGCAACCACACUCUACUAAGCCCAGAGAGAGAUGCUCAACCAGGGCAGGUCCUAAUCUUUCUUUCUCAAAAUUUUUACCUCUUUACCCUUUUCCUAUCUCUCUCAUAUUAUAUUGGAACACUCAUCCAACUCCUAUGUUCUAUUGUUGUCCCAUCCUGAGUCAUCAUGCAAUAUUAAAAUUGGUGAUAAAGGAAAAACAUAUUUAAAUAAUAAUUAAAAGCAUCAAGAAAAUAAUGAUAAUAAUUAAAUGAAAAAUUAAAAUUGCAAAUGAAUAAUCACAGUAGCAAAUCAAAUUUUAUGCAUGACACGUGCAUAAGCGAUAUAUGACUUUAACUCACAGAAUUAGGCGACCUCCUAGCUCUGCUCCGGGGCCUCACUUGGAGCGAGCCGAACAGACAGAUCAUCUAAUCACGAAAAAUAAUUUAUCAAAACGCUGAAACAAUCGAUCAUUAAUCCUAGGUCUAGACUCCUAGGACUGACUGUCUAAGAAUCUCGACUCGGGAGAAUUCUACCGAAAAUCCGGCAGAACCUCCCCUACAACACGAACAUUACCCCCCGUAAAAACGGGUUCAGGACCUGCCAGAAGAUCACUUCCAAUAUCCAACAAUUUAAACAACGGGAGUCGGGUCCCCAAACUUCACUAUCUCCCGACU
rnacentral:lncRNA from 1 species